ensembl:lncRNA
GUGAGCUUAAAUAUGGUGCAUGCAUAGCAGCAUGUAAUGUGGAAAACAAAAAUGAACACAAAAAUGCAAGAUUAACACAAAAUGAAAGUGUGCUUUUAAGAAAUAACUACAAAGAGCUUCAUAUAAAAGAGAGCAGUCUCUCUCAGGCUCCUUCAGUGUUCAUUUCGCUCUUGUGAAGGGAUGCUGGAGAACCUAGACCAGUUUGUCUGUUCACUUGUCUGUUCAUCUGGCAUUCAAUGAGAUAAAGAUUUAUGGUCCCAGUGACUGAAAAACAAUAGUCCCUAAAGUAAAACCAAAGGCACAUUUUGAAGGUUGUCAUGGUCCUGGGCCAUGUGGGCCCAGCAUUCUUAGUUUUCAUGUAUUUUUGUAUUUUGUUCUUUAUUUAGGCCAUGCUUCCUGGGUUGAUCUGUUACGUUGUUCCUUAUGUGUUUUCCCUUCGUGACUCUUACCCCCUGUGUGCCCCUCUGUGUAUUUAUGAGCCCUCGUCUCCCUUUGUGGUUGUUUCAUGUUUCCCCAGCCCGUUAUGUCUGUGUUUUUCCCCGUGCUCUCUCUCCUCCUGUCUGAACCUCUGUGCCUGUACAUGUCAUGUUCAGUUCACCCAGCCCUGUCUCGUUAUGAUUAUCAGUGUCACCUGUGUUCCCCGUGUGUGCCCACUUUCCUCGUUUACCCUCUGUGUAUUUCUGUCUGAGUCUCCCUCUGUUCGGUGUCGUGUUCUCCCUCAUGCUGUGUGUGAUUCCCCUGUGUUCCUUGGUGAGCUUUAUGUUAGUUUUUCCCAGUUUAGUUUUGUAUUGUUUCUCGUGGCCAGCAAUAAAGCUGUGUUUUUGAGUUCACCCCCGUGUCGUACUACGGUGUACAUUUUAGGACAUCGUCAGGUAUCAGACAAAAAAUUGUCAGGUGUCAGUUGUCAAAAAAAAAAGUUGUCAGGUAUCAGAAAAAAAAUUGUCAGGUGUCAGAAAAAAAAUUGUCAGGUGUCAGUUGUCAAAAAAAAAAAAAGUCAGGUAUCAGAAAAAAAAUUGUCAGGUGUCAGAAAAAAAAUUGUCAGGUGUCAGUUGUCCAAAAAAAAAAAAGUCAGGUAUCAGAAAAAAAAUUGUCAGGUGUCAGAAAAAAAGUUGUCAGGUGUCAGACAAAAAAUUGUCAGGUGUCAGUUGUCAAAAAAAAAAAAGUCAGGUGUCAGAAAAAAAGUUGUCAGGUGUCAGAAAAAAAAUUGUCAGGUGUCAGAAAAAAAAUUGUCAGGUAUCAGAACACAAGGUACCAGAGAGAAAAUCUUCCUGCAGGUGGCGCUGUUGUCAUGUCCCACCCGAAUUGAUUUCCAAAUACGUCAUCAACGUGUGACCGUGGGAGAGCGUAAGGUCAUUGACCUCACCGGAGUUUUACCGUGGUUCAGGCUCCUAACGACACAAGGUAAGUUUAACUUUUUCUCCCUUUUGUUCAUAUUUUUGCCACAGUUGUGUUAUAUUAAGUUGCAGUUAUGUUGUGAAAGUUACAUAUCAGAGACGGAAAGCCAGUUUUGUACGAAACCAAAUCAGUACUAUUUUUGUCUGGCUAAUUCAUUCUAGCUAGCGACAGUGGUGAAACGUGAUUCAAAUUUAAACUGUUCAGUAAUUGUUUUGUAUACAUUUCAGCAAAUGGACAAGCUGAAAGCUUACGAGCAGCCUGCAUCCUUUCUGUCGCUCUUUUUCUUUAUUUCUCUUUUCUAUAUUGCUACUGUCGGGAUAUUUUUUGAUCCCGAUUUUUUUUUCUGUUAUUGUUUUUAGACUUUGCUGCAAUAUGUCAUCUGACGAUGAUGAAAGGAGUAUCCGACUCUGGCUGGUUCCCAUGACUGUACCAAAAAUACUUUUUUUUUUAUUAAAAAAAGAGCAUUAAAAAUAAAUGACUAAAGUACAACUUAUUUAUUAACUACUGUUCACCUAUUUAAUAUCAAAGAAGUGUAUUUUUUGCUACACGUUUUAUUUGUGGGCACUGAAUUGACGAUGCUUUUAGUGUAAUUGCCACAUAAAAAGAUUUAGUACUUUACUGGUUAAUUACUUAUGUUCAGUGUAAGAGGUGGGUGAUCAAUUAGACUGUUGUUGUUACACUUAACCUUUCAAGAUAUGAUGAUAAUAACAUUGUUCAACAAAG